rnacentral:rRNA from 1 species
GAUGAACGCUGGCGGCGUGCCUAAUACAUGCAAGUAGAACGCUGAAGGAGGAGCUUGCUCUUCUGGAUGAGUUGCGAACGGGUGAGUAACGCGUAGGUAACCUGCCUGGUAGCGGGGGAUAACUAUUGGAAACGAUAGCUAAUACCGCAUGACAACAGUUAUUGCAUGAUAACUGUUUAAAAGGGGCAACUGCUCCACUACCAGAUGGACCUGCGUUGUAUUAGCUAGUUGGUGAGGUAACGGCUCACCAAGGCGACGAUACAUAGCCGACCUGAGAGGGUGAUCGGCCACACUGGGACUGAGACACGGCCCAGACUCCUACGGGAGGCAGCAGUAGGGAAUCUUCGGCAAUGGACGGAAGGCUGACCGAGCAACGCCGCGUGAGUGAAGAAGGGUUUCGGAUCGUAAAGCUCUGUUGUAAGAGAAGAACGAGUGUGAGAGUGGAAAGUUCACACUGUGACGGUAUCUUACCAGAAAGGGACGGCUAACUACGUG